rnacentral:rRNA from 1 species
UACGAAGGGGGCUAGCGUUGCUCGGAAUCACUGGGCGUAAAGCGCACGUAGGCGGAUUGCUAAGUCAGGGGUGAAAUCCUGGAGCUCAACUCCAGAACUGCCUUUGAUACUGGCGACCUUGAGUCCGGGAGAGGUGAGUGGAACUGCGAGUGUAGAGGUGAAAUUCGUAGAUAUUCGGAAGAACACCAGUGGCGAAGGCGGCUCACUGGUCCGGUACUGACGCUGAUGUGCGAAAGCGUGGGGAGCAAACAGG